UACAGAGGUCUCAAGCGUUGUUCGGAUUCAUUGGGCGUAAAGGGCGCGUAGGCGGCGGGGUAAGUCGGGUGUGAAAUCUCAGAGCUCAACUCUGAAACUGCACUCGAUACUGCUCUGCUUGAGGACUGGAGAGGAGACUGGAAUUCACGGUGUAGCAGUGAAAUGCGUAGAUAUCGUGAGGAAGACCAGUGGCGAAGGCAGCCUCCUGGGCCAACACUGACGCUCAUGCACGAAAGCGUGGGGAGCAAACAGG
rnacentral:rRNA from 1 species